CUUGACGGGCGGUGUGUACAAGGCCCGGGAACGUAUUCACCGCGCCAUGGCUGAUGCGCGAUUACUAGCGAAUCCAGCUUCACGAAGUCGGGUUGCAGACUUCGAUCCGAACUGAGAGAGGUUUUUGGGAUUGGCAUCCUGUCACCAGGUAGCGGCCUUCUGUACCCCCCAUUGUAACACGUGUGUAGCCCCGGACGUAAGGGCCGUGCUGAUUUGACGUCAUCCCCACCUUCCUCACAUCUUACGACGGCAGUCUCUCCAGAGUCCUCAGCAUGACCUGUUAGUAACUGAAGAUAAGGGUUGCGCUCGUUAUGGCACUUAAGCCGACACCUCACGGCACGAGCUGACGACAACCAUGCAGCACCUUCACAAAUGCCUUGCGGCGUAUGGGUUUCCCCAUAAUUCAUUUGCAAUUUAAGCCCGGGUAAGGUUCCUCGCGUAUCAUCGAAUUAAACCACAUGUUCCUCCGCUUGUGCGGGCCCCCGUCAAUUCCUUUGAGUUUCACCGUUGCCGGCGUACUCCCCAGGUGGAAUACUUAAUGCUUUCGCUUGGCCGCUUACUGUAUAUCGCAAACAGCGAGUAUUCAUCGUUUACUGUGUGGACUACCAGGGUAUCUAAUCCUGUUUGAUACCCACACUUUCGAGCAUCAGCGUCAGUUACACUCCAGUGAGCUGCCUUCGCAAUCGGAGUUCUUCGUGAUAUCUAAGCAUUUCACCGCUACACCACGAAUUCCGCCCACCUCUACUGCACUCAAGACUGCCAGUAUCAACUGCAAUUUUACGGUUGAGCCGCAAACUUUCACAACUGACUUAACAAUCCGCCUACGCUCCCUUUAAACCCAAUAAAUCCGGAUAACGCUCGGAUCCUCCGUAUUACCGCGGCUGCUGGCACGGAGUUAGCCGAUCCUUAUUCAUAUGGUACAUACAAAAGUCCACACGUGGACCACUUUAUUCCCAUAUAAAAGAAGUUUACAACCCAUAGGGCAGUCAUCCUUCACGCUACUUGGCUGGUUCAGACUCGCGUCCAUUGACCAAUAUUCCUCACUGCUGCCUCCCGUAGGAGUUUGGACCGUGUCUCAGUUCCAAUGUGGGGGACCUUCCUCUCAGAACCCCUAUCCAUCGUAGUCUUGGUGGGCCGUUACCCCCCCAACAAACUAAUGGAACGCAUCCCCAUCUCAUACCGAAUUUCUUUAA
rnacentral:rRNA from 1 species